rnacentral:rRNA from 1 species
GAGAGUUUUUACUCAGUAGCGGACGGGUGAGUAACACGUGAGAAUUUGCCUUCAGGAGGGGGACAACAACUGGAAACGGUUGCUAAUACCCCAUAUGCUUUCGAGUGAAAUGAAUUUAUUCGCCUGAAGAGAAGCUCGCGGCUGAUUAGCUUGUUGGUGGGGUAAGAGCCUACCAAGGCGACGAUCAGUAUCUGGUUUGAGAGGACGAUCAGACACACUGGAACUGAGACACGGUCCAGACUCCUACGGGAGGCAGCAGUGGGGAAUUUUCCGCAAUGGGCGAAAGCCUGACGGAGCAAUACCGCGUGAGGGAAGACGGCCUAUGGGUUGUAAACCUCUUUUUUCAGGGAGGAAUCAAUGACGUGUACCUGAAGAAUAAGCAUCGGCUAACUCCGUGCCAGCAGCCGCGGUAAGACGGAGGAUGCAAGUGUUAUCCGGAAUCACUGGGCGUAAAGCGUCUGUAGGUGGUUGAACAAGUCAACUGUUAAAUCUUGAGGCUCAACUUCAAAAUCGCAGUCGAAACUGUUUGACUAGAGUAUAGUAGGGGUAAAGGGAAUUUCCAGUGGAGCGGUGAAAUGCGUAGAUAUUGGAAAGAACACCGAUGGCGAAGGCACUUUACUGGGCUAUUACUGACACUCAGAGACGAAAGCUAGGGUAGCAAAUGGGAUUAGAUACCCCAGUAGUCCUAGCCGUAAACAAUGGAUACUAAAUGUUGAACAGAUCGACCUGUGCA